ACCUGGAGUACCUACGUGUCAGGGGUGUUGUG
rnacentral:piRNA from 1 species